rnacentral:rRNA from 1 species
GAUGAACGCUGGCGGCGUGCUUAACACAUGCAAGUCGAGCGAGUGAGUUCUUCGGAACGAUCUAGCGGCGGACGAGUGAGUAACACGUGGGCAACCUGCCUCAUAGAGGGGAAUAGCCUCCCGAAAGGGAGAUUAAUACCGCAUAAAAUUAUCGAGUGGCAUCACAUGAUAAUCAAAGGAGUAAUCCGCUAUGAGAUGGGCCCGCGGCGCGUUAGCUAGUUGGUGAGGUAACGGCUCACCAAGGCGACGAUGCGUAGCCGACCUGAGAGGGUGAUCGGCCACAUUGGGACUGAGACACGGCCCAGACUCCUACGGGAGGCAGCAGUGGGGAAUAUUGCACAAUGGGGGAAACCCUGAUGCAGCAACGCCGCGUGAGUGAUGAAGGUCUUCGGAUUGUAAAGCUCUGUCUUUGGGGACGAUAAUGACGGUACCCAAGGAGGAAGCCACGGCUAACUACGUGCCAGCCGCCGCCGUAA